UACAGAGGGUGCGAGCGUUAAUCGGAAUUACUGGGCGUAAAGCGCGCGUAGGCGGCUUUGCAAGUCGAGUGUGAAAUCCCCAGGCCUAACCUGGGAACUGCAUUCGAGACUGCAUGGCUAGAGUAUCGGAGAGGGAAGUGGAAUUUCAGGUGUAGCGGUGAAAUGCGUAGAUAUCAAGAGGAACACCUGAGGUGAAGACGGGUUGCUGGGCCAACACUGACGCUGAGGCGCGAAAGCCAGGGGAGCAAACGGG
rnacentral:rRNA from 1 species